rnacentral:misc_RNA from 1 species
GAUGAAGAACGCAGCGAAAUGCGAUAAGUAAUGUGAAUUGCAGAAUUCAGUGAAUCAUCGAAUCUUUGAACGCACCUUGCGCCCUUUGGCUAUUCCGAAGGGCAUGCCUGUUUGAGUAUCGUGAACACCUCAACUCUCAUGGUUUGCCAUGAUGAGCUUGGACUUUGGGGGUUUUGCUGGCCUUUGGUCGGCUCCUCUCAAACGGAUCAGCUUUCCAGUGUUUGGUGGCGUCACGGGUGUGAUAACUAUCUACGCCUGUGGUUUUUCCACCAGGUAACCUUCAGCAGUGGAGGUUCGCUGGAGCUCAUAGAUGUCUCUCCUCGGUGAGGACAGCCCUUUGAACGUUUGAUCUCAAAUCAGGUAGGACUACCCGCUGAACUUAAGCAUAUCAAUAAGCGGAGGA